UUGCCAGCCCGCUCAGAAACUUAAAUGAAUUGACGGGGCCCGCACAAGCGGAGGAGCAUGUGGUUUAAUUCGAUGAUACGCGAGGAACCUUACCUGGGCUCGAACGUAAGAUGACUGUAGGUGAAAGCUUACAUCUCUUCGGAGCAUUUUACGAGGUGCUGCAUGGUUGUCGUCAGCUCGUGCCGUGAGGUGUCGGGUUAAGUCCCAUAACGAGCGCAACCCCUACCUUUAGUUGCCAUCAGGUUAAGCUGGGGACUCUAAAGGAACUGCCUACGCAAGUAGUGAGGAAGGCGGGGAUGACGUCAAAUCAGCACGGCCCUUACGUCCAGGGCUACACACGUGCUACAAUGGCCGAUACAGAGGGCAGCUACCUGGUGACAGGAUGCAAAUCUCCAAAGUCGGUCUCAGUUCGGAUCGGAGUCUGCAACCCGACUCCGUGAAGUUGGAUUCGCUAGUAAUCGCGCAUCCAGCCAUGGCGCGGUGAAUACGUCCGGCCUU
rnacentral:rRNA from 1 species